GUGGGGAAUAUUGCACAAUGGGGGAAACCCUGAUGCAGCGACGCCGCGUGAACGAUGAAGGCCUUCGGGUCGUAAAGUUCUGUCCUUGGUAAAGAUAAUGACGGUAACCAAGGAGGAAGCACCGGCUAAAUACGUGCCAGCAGCCGCGGUAAUACGUAUGGUGCGAGCGUUGUCCGGAAUUAUUGGGCGUAAAGGGUACGUAGGCGGUUUGUUAAGUCAGAUGUUAAAGCGUGAGGCUCAACCUCAUAAAGCAUUUGAAACUAGCAAACUUGAGUAGUGGAGAGGAAAGUGGAAUUCCUAGUGUAGCGGUGAAAUGCGUAGAUAUUAGGAGGAAUACCAGUUGCGAAGGCGACUUUCUGGACACAAACUGACGCUGAGGUACGAAAGCGUGGGGAGCAAACAGGAUUAGAAACCCUUGUAGUCC
rnacentral:rRNA from 1 species